GUGGCUCAGUGGUAGAGCACGUGUCUAGUGAGCAGGAGCCCUGGGUUCAAUCCCCAAC
rnacentral:tRNA from 1 species